UACGAAGGGGGCUAGCGUUGCUCGGAAUUACUGGGCGUAAAGCGCACGUAGGCGGCUUGUUAAGUCAGGGGUGAAAUCCUGGAGCUCAACUCCAGAACUGCCUUUGAUACUGGCGAGCUUGAGUUCGGGAGAGGUGAGUGGAACUGCGAGUGUAGAGGUGAAAUUCGUAGAUAUUCGCAAGAACACCAGUGGCGAAGGCGGCUCACUGGCCCGAUACUGACGCUGAGGCACGAAGGUCAGGGGAGCAAACGGG
rnacentral:rRNA from 1 species